AUGCUCCAUGAUAAAUUGGAUCUAGUGGCACAAAGGAAUCCCGAGCCUUCACGUGAUGUCUGCAGUUUGGACAGGAAAGGAAGUGAGAUAUAACACCUGCAAGGUGCUGUGACGCUCAGCAGUGGUUGUCAGUGCUGUUAGAAAUGUGCCAUGAAGCUCAAGCAAAGGGCAAGGAGUGAACAGCAAACUUAUUCUGAUGGAUGGAGGAAAUUUGAAUCUGAAUUUCACAUGAAUGCUCCUUGCGUCCCUGCUUCCUCCUGGACUCAUGCAGAGAAGCCACUCCCUUGUCCCUUUUGAGGGUCGCAAAUAGCACCCACAGCCCAGCCAUCUUUAGCAUCAAAUGGUAGGGACAGACUUUAAGGAAGCAGUGGGUGUUUGCAAGAGCUGAUGGCCUCAUCCCAAAAUCUCUGCGGAGCUGAUGCACAGGUUUCUCGGCCAGCAGCUCCAGCAGGCAGACCCAUGGGCUCCAUCUGUCUCGGGAACAGCUCGGAGGAAUGGGUUUGGAGCUACAAAUGGGUCUCAGGGACAACUCUUGGAACCAGAAUUGGAUACGGAGCUUAUUUUCCUUCAGCGCUUCAGAGUGAAAAGGUCUUUCGUGGGAUGUGAGCUCUGAAUUCCUCCUGGGGAUGAGGGAGUGCAGGUGGGAGCCGCUCUGCCCCGGUGGGACGUCACAAAGCUGCAGUGACUCACAGCAGCCCCAGUGCAGUGUUUGGACUCCCUGCAGUCACCUUGAAAACUUCUACUGACAUUGUGUGAAGGAACGGGUAAUAAAUGGCUCCUUAAUAGCAUGGAAUGUCAGAAGAGGGGAAUCUGAAAUCAGUUUGGAGGAAAAAGAGAGAAGCUCAUUUUUACUGCAGAAGACUGUGGCCACGUCCCAGUGGAGCAGUUCCCAGAAAUGCUGUAGUGCCUUGCAGUUUACCUCCAUGGUGAAAUGUAGGAGAGCUUACCUUGCUGGUUAGCAAAUAAUUCCCCAGAGUCUGAGG
ensembl:lncRNA